AGCGAACGCUGGCGGCAGGCCUAACACAUGCAAGUCGAACGAACUCUUCGGAGUUAGUGGCGGACGGGUGAGUAACACGUGGGAACGUGCCUUUUGGUUCGGAAUAACUCAGGGAAACUUGUGCUAAUACCGAAUGUGCCCUUCGGGGGAAAGAUUUAUCGCCAUUAGAGCGGCCCGCGUCUGAUUAGCUAGUUGGUGAGGUAACGGCUCACCAAGGCGACGAUCAGUAGCUGGUCUGAGAGGAUGACCAGCCACACUGGGACUGAGACACGGCCCAGACUCCUACGGGAGGCAGCAGUGGGGAAUCUUGCGAAAUGGGGGAAAGGCUGACGCAGCCAUGCCGCGUGAAUGAUGAAGGUCUUAGGAUUGUAAAAUUCUUUCACCGGGGACGAUAAUGACGGUACCCGGAGAAGAAGCCCCGGCUAACUUCGUG
rnacentral:rRNA from 1 species